UACGUAGGUGGCGAGCGUUUGUCCGGAUUUAUUGGGCGUAAAGGGCGCGCAGGUGGUGCGGUAAGACUGCCGUGAAAUCUCCUGGCUCAACUGGGAGGGUGCGGUGGAGACUGCCGGACUAGAGGCACUCAGAGGCCGGUGGAAUUCCCGGUGUAGUGGUGAAAUGCGUAGAGAUCGGGAGGAACACCAGUGGCGAAGGCGGCCGGCUGGGGGUGACCUGACGCUGAGGCGCGAAAGCGUGGGGAGCGAACCGG
rnacentral:rRNA from 1 species